rnacentral:lncRNA from 1 species
GUGCAAAACGCAGGCUUCCCCGCUCGCCCGUGAAGAGCGGGAGAAAUCAGGGCUCCAGGACUUCCCCAGCUCAAGCGAGGCUUUCUCCACUGAAAUAAAGCAAUGCCCCUCACCCCAGCACCUCAGCCUUUUGAGUUUUGCAUUAGACCCUCAUUAUACCUCUGGUGCGAGAGAUGACGGAGAAGCGUAAUGCGAAAGCUGAGCUCCCCGUCACGCUCUUCCCUCUUGUUCAUUUGCCAGCUCUGAAGGGGUCGACUGCCAAGUGAAGUACUGGGGAGGUAACAGCCUGAUAUCGGGAGAACCCCUCGAGCUGUCAGCAAGCUGGGAACUACAGUCCUGGUGCCGCCUGCGGUAUUCCGGCGCUGAAAACACUUGUGUAAAGCAGCAUAGUGGGCAUCAAACUCGGGCAGACGUUUUGCUUUGUGACUUGCGUUUGGCUCGGUCUGAUGUGGUUGUUAGCAACUCGCUUGGGGCCAAAGCAGCCAAAAGUGUCUCGGGGAGGGAUGCCGGGGUUCGUUUGCCCGUGCAGCCAAAAGUGUCUCGGGGAGGGAUGCCGGGGUUCGUUUGCCCGUGCAGCUAAGAGAGCAUCCUCCCAAACCGAAGCGCACGUCUUCAUCAUCGUCCCCCCGCCCCGUCGCGCUCCCCUUCUUGCCGCGAUCCUCGCACAGCGUUGCUUUCGCUGAGCGUGGCAAGUGGCAGUUCAUUAAAAAGUGGGAGCAGAUGGGGAAGGGAUUGUAGAAGAAGAUUAAUGAUGCACACCGACAACUAAACAGGCCCCGGUUUUGGAGUAAACACAAUCACGGCGGCUUCCUGGGCGCGGGUAAUCCUCCGCUGUCGGCUCGGCCCCGGUUAGCUGGCCGCCGAGGUGCUGGGCUGCGCUAACGAGAAGGGACGCGGUUGGGGCGCCGCGGCAGCACCGGGGCUGCCGGGAAGGGGGACGUGUCCUCGCCGCGUGGCACUCGCCGGCCCGGCAGCUCCGUGUCCUCGCCAAGGCAGGUUUCUCUCGCCAGCUCUGCUCAGCCUCGCGCCGUGCCUGCUGCCUUGGGCGUCACGCUGAGCUUCGCACGUUAUCGCCCGCAAUAACGAUCCCGGGCUGGGAGCG